rnacentral:tRNA from 1 species
GGCGUUGUGGCGCAAUGGCUAGCGCAUAGAGCUUCUAAAAAAAUGGAUUCAAGUGUCGAGUUCGACUCGGUUGUUUGAAAUAACUCUAAGGCUGCGGGUUCGAGUCCCGCCAUCGCCU